rnacentral:rRNA from 1 species
UUUUAUGGAGAGUUUGAUCCUGGCUCAGGAUGAACGCUGGCGGCGUGCCUAAUACAUGCAAGUCGAGCGAACGGACGAGAAGCUUGCUUCUCUGAUGUUAGCGGCGGACGGGUGAGUAACACGUGGAUAACCUACCUAUAAGACUGGGAUAACUUCGGGAAACCGGAG